UAUUUUAUUUAAAUUUCAUGUCCUGCAUAUUUAUUUCCUAUGUUGCUGUUAAUGCUGCAACUUCAUCUUCUAAACUUAUUUAAACCAUUUUUUUUUUAAAUAUAUAGUUUCGGACAGCUGAAGCAAGUCACACAUUUUAUUUUACUUGUUGAACUUUUUUAUAGCAAAUUGAUGAGAGGACGGCUUUGUAAUGCAGUUAAGCACACUGUGUGCUCUUUCCCGUGUAUAUUGGAUUGACAGGCCCACUCCUCAGAGCCUGGUGGUUCCUAUAGGGUUUUGUACCUUUGUUUUUUGAUGUUUGGUGUUUUUAGGUGGGAUAUCUGUUGAAACUAGUUAGGGAUAGGUGGGAUAUCUGUUGAAACUAGUUAGGGAUAGGUGGGAUAUCUGUUGAAACUAAUUAGGGAUAGGUGGGAUAUCUGUUAAAACUAGUUAGGGAUAGGUGGGAUAUCUGUUGAAACUAGUUAGGGAUAAGUGGGAUAUCUGUUAAAACUAGUUAAGGAUAGGUGGGAUAUCUGUUAAAACUAGUUAAGGAUAGGUGGGAUAUCUGUUAAAACUAGUUAAGGAUAGGCGGGAUAUCUGUUGAAACUAGUUAGGGAUAUCUGUUGAAACUAGUUAGGGAUAGGCGGGAUAUCUGUUAAAACUAGUUAGGGAUAGGUGGGGUAUCUGUUAAAACUAGUUAAGGAUAGGUGGGAUAUCUGUUGAAACUAGUUAAGGAUAGGCGGGAUAUCUGUUGAAACUAGUUAAGGAUAGGUGGGAUAUCUGUUAAAACUAGUUAAGGAUAGGCGGGAUAUCUGUUGAAACUAGUUAAGGAUAGGUGGGAUAUCUGUUAAAACUAGUUAGGGAUAGGUGGGAUAUCUGUUAAAACUAGUUAGGGAUAGGUGGGAUAUCUGUUGAAACUAGUUAGGGAUAGGUGGGAUAUCUGUUAAAACUAGUUAGGGAUAGGUGGGAUAUCUGUUAAAACUAGUUAGGGAUAGGCGGGAUAUCUGUUAAAACUAGUUAAGGAUAGGUGGGAUAUCUGUUAAAACUAGUUAGGGAUAGGUGGGAUAUCUGUUGAAACUAGUUAGGGAUAGGUGGGAUAUCUGUUAAAACUAGUUAGGGAUAUCUGUUGAAACUAGUUAGGGAUAGGCGGGAUAUCUGUUAAAACUAGUUAGGGAUAGGUGGGGUAUCUGUUAAAACUAGUUAGGGAUAGGUGGGAUAUCUGUUGAAACUAGUUAGGGAUACGUGGGAUAUCUGUUGAAACUAGUUAGGGAUAGGUGGGAUAUCUGUUAAAACUAGUUAGGGAUAGGUGGGAUAUCUGUUAAAACUAGUUAGGAAUAGGUGGGAUAUCUGUUAAAACUAGUUAGGGAUAGGUGGGAUAUCUGUUAAAACUAGUUAGGGAUAGGUGGGAUAUCUGUUAAAACUAGUUAGGGAUAGGCAGGAUAUAUGUUAAAACUAGUUAGGGAUAGGUGGGAUAUCUGUUAAAACUAGUUAGGGAUAGGUGGGAUAUCUGUUGAAACUAGUUAGGGAUAGGUGGGAUAUCUGUUGAAACUAGUUAGGGAUAUCUGUUGAAACUAGUUAGGGAUAGGUGGGAUAUCUGUUAAAACUAGUUAGGGAUAGGUGGGAUAUCUGUUGAAACUAGUUAGGGAUAGGUGGGAUAUCUGUUAAAACUAGUUAGGGAUAUUUGUUGAAACGAGUUAGGGAUAGGUGGGAUAUCUGUUAAAACUAGUUAGGGAUAGGUGGGAUAUCUGUUGAAACUAGUUAAGGAUUGGUGGGAUAUCUGUUAAAACUAGUUAGGGAUAGGUGGGAUAUCUGUUGAAACUAGUUAGGGAUAGGUGGGAUAUCUGUUAAAACUAGUUAGGGAUAUCUGUUGAAACUAGUUAGGGAUAGGUGGGAUAUCUGUUAAAACUAGUUAGGGAUAGGUGGGAUAUCUGUUAAAACUAGUUAGGGAUAGGUGGGAUAUCUGUUAAAACUAGUUAGGGAUAUCUGUUGAAACUAGUUAGGGAUAGGUGGGAUAUCUGUUAAAACUAGUUAGGGAUAGGUGGGAUAUCUGUUAAAACUAGUUAGGGAUAGGUGGGAUAUCUGUUAAACCUAGUUAGGGAUAGGUGGGAUAUCUGUUAAAACUAGUUAGGGAUAGGUGGGAUAUCUGUUAAAACUAGUUAGGGAUAGGUGGGAUAUCUGUUAAAACUAGUUAGGGAUAGGUGGGAUAUCUGUUGAAACUAGUUAGGGAUAGGUGGGAUAUCUGUUAAAACUAGUUAGGGAUAGGUGGGAUAUCUGUUGAAACUAGUUAGGGAUAUCGGUUGAAACUAGUUAAGGAUAGGUGGGAUAUCUGUUAAAACUAGUUAGGGAUAGGUGGGAUAUCUGUUGAAACUAGUUAAGGAUUGGUGGGAUAUCUGUUAAAACUAGUUAGGGAUAGGUGGGAUAUCUGUUGAAACUAGUUAGGGAUAUCGGUUGAAACUAGUUAAGGAUAGGUGGGAUAUCUGUUAAAACUAGUUAGGGAUAGGUGGGAUAUCUGUUGAAACUAGUUAAGGAUUGGUGGGAUAUCUGUUAAAACUAGUUAGGGAUAGGUGGGAUAUCUGUUAAAACUAGUUAGGGAUAUCUGUUGAGACGAGUUAGGGAUACGUGGGAUAUCUGUUAAAACUAGUUAGGGAUAGGUGGGAUAUCUGUUGAAACUAGUUAGGGAUAGGUGGGAUAUCUGUUAAAACUAGUUAGGGAUAUCUGUUGAAACUAGUUAGGGAUAGGUGGUAUAUCUGUUAAAACUAGUUAGGGAUAGGUGGUAUAUCUGUUGAAACUAGUUAGGGAUAGGUGGGAUAUCUGUUAAAACUAGUUAGGGAUAGGUGGGAUAUCUGUUGAAACUAGUUAGGGAUAGGUGGGAUAUCUGUUAAAACUAGUUAGGGAUAGGUGGGAUAUCUGUUAAGCACUUUGUGACAACGGCUUUAUAAAAAAAUGGUUAAAAACUUUCUGAAAACCGUUUUCAUUUGAUUUUGACUUUUGA